GCUGGGCAUGGUGGCCCAUGCCUGUAGUUCCAGCUACUUCAGAGGCUCAGGAAGGAGGAUCCCUUGAUUCCAGGAAUCUGAGGUCAGCCUGGGCAAUAGGGUAAGAUUCCCAACCUUU
rnacentral:sRNA from 1 species